AUUGAACGCUGGCGGCAGGCCUAACACAUGCAAGUCGAGCGGAUGAAGGGAGCUUGCUCCUGGAUUCAGCGGCGGACGGGUGAGUAAUGCCUAGGAAUCUGCCUGGUAGUGAGGGAUAACGUCCGGAAACGGGCGCUAAUACCGCAUACGUCCUGAGGGAGAAAGUGGGGGAUCUUCGGACCUCACGCUACCAGAUGAGCCUAGGUCGGAUUAGCUAGUUGGUGGGGUAAAGGCCUACCAAGGCGACGAUCCGUAACUGGUCUGAGAGGAUGAUCAGUCACACUGGAACUGAGACACGGUCCAGACUCCUACGGGAGGCAGCAGUGGGGAAUAUUGGACAAUGGGCGAAAGCCUGAUCCAGCCAUGCCGCGUGUGUGAAGAAGGUCUUCGGAUUGUAAAGCACUUUAAGUUGGGAGGAAGGGCAGUAAGUUAAUACCUUGCUGUUUUGACGUUACCAACAGAAUAAGCACCGGCUAACUUCGUG
rnacentral:rRNA from 1 species